rnacentral:rRNA from 1 species
CAAGGCUGAGGCGUGAUGACGAGGCACUACGGUGCUGAAGCAACAAAUGCCCUGCUUCCAGGAAAAGCCUCUAAGCAUCAGGUAACAUCAAAUCGUACCCCAAACCGACACAGGUGGUCAGGUAGAGAAUACCAAGGCGCUUGAGAGAACUCGGGUGAAGGAACUAGGCAAAAUGGUGCCGUAACUUCGGGAGAAGGCACGCUGAUAUGUAGGUGAAGCGACUUGCUCGUGGAGCUGAAAUCAGUCGAAGAUACCAGCUGGCUGCAACUGUUUAUUAAAAACACAGCACUGUGCAAACACGAAAGUGGACGUAUACGGUGUGACGCCUGCCCGGUGCCGGAAGGUUAAUUGAUGGGGUUAGCGCAAGCGAAGCUCUUGAUCGAAGCCCCGGUAAACGGCGGCCGUAACUAUAACGGUCCUAAGGUAGCGAAAUUCCUUGUCGGGUAAGUUCCGACCUGCACGAAUGGCGUAAUGAUGGCCAGGCUGUCUCCACCCGAGACUCAGUGAAAUUGAACUCGCUGUGAAGAUGCAGUGUACCCGCGGCAAGACGGAAAGACCCCGUGAACCUUUACUAUAGCUUGACACUGAACAUUGAGCCUUGAUGUGUAGGAUAGGUGGGAGGCUUUGAAGUGUGGACGCCAGUCUGCAUGGAGCCGACCUUGAAAUACCACCCUUUAAUGUUUGAUGUUCUAACGUGGACCCGUAAUCCGGGUUGCGGACAGUGUCUGGUGGGUAGUUUGACUGGGGCGGUCUCCUCCUAAAGAGUAACGGAGGAGCACGAAGGUUGGCUAAUCCUGGUCGGACAUCAGGAGGUUAGUGCAAUGGCAUAAGCCAGCUUGACUGCGAGCGUGACGGCGCGAGCAGGUGCGAAAGCAGGUCAUAGUGAUCCGGUGGUUCUGAAUGGAAGGGCCAUCGCUCAACGGAUAAAAGGUACUCCGGGGAUAACAGGCUGAUACCGCCCAAGAGUUCAUAUCGACGGCGGUGUUUGGCACCUCGAUGUCGGCUCAUCACAUCCUGGGGCUGAAGUAGGUCCCAAGGGUAUGGCUGUUCGCCAUUUAAAGUGGUACGCGAGCUGGGUUUAGAACGUCGUGAGACAGUUCGGUCCCUAUCUGCCGUGGGCGCUGGAGAACUGAGGGGGGCUGCUCCUAGUACGAGAGGACCGGAGUGGACGCAUCACUGGUGUUCGGGUUGUCAUGCCAAUGGCACUGCCCGGUAGCUAAAUGCGGAAGAGAUAAGUGCUGAAAGCAUCUAAGCACGAAACUUGCCCCGAGAUGAGUUCUCCCUGACUCCUUGAGAGUCCUGAAGGAACGUUGAAGACGACGACGUUGAUAGGCCGGGUGUGUAAGCGCAGCGAUGCGUUGAGCUAACCGGUACUAAUGAACCGUGAGGCUUAACCUU